rnacentral:lncRNA from 1 species
GUGGUGUGUGUAUGGUGUGUGUGGUGUGUGUGUGUGUGUGGUGUGUGUGUAUGGUGUAUGUGUGGUGUGUGUGUGUGUGGUGGGUGUGUGUGGUGUACGUGUGGUGUAUGUGUGGGGUGUGUGUGUGUGUGGUAUAUGUGUGUGUGGUGUAUGUGUGUGGUGUUUAUGUGUGUGUGGUGUAUGUGUGGUGUGUGUGGUGUGUGUGGUGUGUGUAUGUGUGUGGUGUAUGUGUGGUGUGUGUGUGUGGUGUGUGUGGUGUGUGUGGUGUGUGUGUGGUGUGUGGUGUUGUGUAUGGUGUGUGUAUGUGUGUGGUGUAUGUGGUGUGUGUGGUGUCUGUGUGGUGUCUGUGUGGUGUGUCUGUGUGGUGCGUGUGUGGUGUGUGUGGUAUAUGUGUGUGGUGUGUGUGGUGUCUGUGUGCUGUCUGUGUGUGGUGUCUGUGUGUUGUGUCUGUGUGGUGUGUGUGGUGUGUGUGGUGUCUGUGUGGUGUCUGUGUGGUGUGUCUGUGUGGUGCGUGUGGUGCGUGUGUGGUGUCUGUGUGGUGUCUGUGUGGUGUCUGUGUGGUGUCUGUGUGGUGUCUGUGUGGUGUCUGUGUGGUGUCUGUGUGGUGUCUGUGUGGUGUCUGUGUGGUGUCUGUGUGGUGUCUGUGUGGUGUCUGUGUGGUGUCUGUGUGGUGGGUGUGUGUGUGUGGUGUCUGUGUGGUGUGUCUGUAUGGUGUCUGUGUGGUGUGUGUGGUGUCUGUGUGGUGUCUGUGUGGUGUCUGUGUGUUGUGUCUGUGUGGUGCGUGUGUGGUGUCUGUGUGGUGUCUGCGUGGCGUGGGGGGGGAGGGCACGGCAGGGCACGCUGGUGUGAGGGGUCAGGGAGAGCAGCUCCUUCACCACCCGCGCUGGGCGACGGGGACGGGACGCAGCUCCUGUCCCGGGGGCAGGGCGCUGGUUGUCGCCAGGCGCAGCAUCUGUC